AAAUUUGGCGGUAUUUUAGUCUGUUCAGAGGAACCUGUUUUGUAAUCGAUAUUCCACGAUGUACCUCACUUGAUUUAAUAAAUUAGUAUGUAUACCGUCGUUAUAAAAAAUUUUAUGAGAAAAAUAAUUUUUAAUAUAUUUAAUAAAAUAUUAUAUCAGAUCAAGGUGCAGCUUAUGAUUAAGUAAUAAUGGGUUACAAUAANNNNNNNNNAAUGGAGAUAAAUAUGAAAAAAUUUAUUGAAAGUGGAUUUGAAAGUAAAAUUGUAAAGAUUAAUAAUUUGAUUUUAGCUCUAAAAUAU
rnacentral:rRNA from 1 species